GACGAACGCUGGCGGCGUGCUUAACACAUGCAAGUCGAACGGAAAGGCCCUGCUUUUGUGGGGUGCUCGAGUGGCGAACGGGUGAGUAACACGUGAGUAACCUGCCCUUGACUUUGGGAUAACUUCAGGAAACUGGGGCUAAUACCGGAUAGGAGCUCCUGCUGCAUGGUGUGGGUUGGAAAGUUUCGGCGGUUGGGGAUGGACUCGCGGCUUAUCAGCUUGUUGGUGGGGUAGUGGCUUACCAAGGCUUUGACGGGUAGCCGGCCUGAGAGGGUGACCGGACACAUGGGGACUGAGAUACGGCCAAGACUCCUACGGGAGGAAGAAGUGGGGAAUAUUGCAAAAUGGGCGGAAGCCUGAUGCAGCAACGCCGCGUGCGGGAUGACGGCCUUCGGGUUGUAAACCGCUUUCGCCUGUGACGAAGCGUGAGUGACGGUAAUGGGUAAAGAAGCACCGGCUAACUACGUG
rnacentral:rRNA from 1 species